CUAAACAAGCCAGUUGGAUGGUCCGGAAGAUCAUUGAAGGUACUGUUCUAUUGCAGCAAUACCAACUGUUGCAUAAGCCUGCAUGCUCUAUCAGAAUGAUUUAUCUUCAACAGAUUGGACAGUUACCUAGAGUCUCUUGGAAGAACUUAACCAUACAGAAUUCUGCUCGACCUAAAGCACUCUUCAACCUUCGACAGUUACCUAGAGUCUCUUGGAAGAGCUUAACCAUACAGAAUUCUGCUCGACCUAAAGCACUCUUUAACCUUUGGCUGCUUCUACAAGA
rnacentral:lncRNA from 1 species